GUGGAACUAUCGAGGAAGCGGAAACCGGCAAGUUGUAAAAUGGAUGAAGAAACCCGAAAAUCUCCGAGGUUCAAUUCCGAUUCCUCAAAUGGAGUUCAACUAGCACUGCCGGAGAUGAGCGCGUGCGGUGCACUCUCCGCCGGCGGAAGAACCGGCACGAAGAGGGAACUGCUGGCUCUGAUGACGACGACGCCGGCGAACAGCAGCGCGUCGAGGAAACGCGCUGCCAGGGGGAGUGAUUCAGUAAAUGUAGGGAACAAUUCACGAGGAUCCCGGAGGAAAGAUCCAGUUUUUGCUGAAUCGCCGG
rnacentral:misc_RNA from 1 species